AGCGAACGCUGGCGGCGUGCCUAACACAUGCAAGUCGUACGGGGAGCGUCGGGGCAACUCGACGCUUCCAGUGGCGCACGGGUGCGUAACACGUGGGUAACCUGCCCUCGAGUGGGGGAUAACCUGCCGAAAGGCGGGCUAAUACCGCAUAACAUCCCGGUGACUUCGGUUGCCGGGAUCAAAGCUCGCAAGAGCGCUUGAGGAGGGGCCCGCGCCCGAUUAGCUAGUUGGUGAGGUAACGGCUCACCAAGGCGAAGAUCGGUAGCCGGUCUGAGAG
rnacentral:rRNA from 1 species